UAAUAAAAGUGGUUUUAUGGCACUUUUAAAAUAAAUCCAUAUCCACCUUGUGUGCAAUGUUUUUUUUUUUAUAUCAACUCAUUAUUUUAUAACUUAUUAUCUGAAAUAUAUUAUGAAUAACUUAAUUCAAAAAUA
rnacentral:misc_RNA from 1 species